rnacentral:rRNA from 1 species
UACAGAGGGGGCAAGCGUUAUUCGGAAUUAUUGGGCGUAAAGGGCGCGUAGGCGGAUCGUUAAGUCGGGGGUGAAAUCCCGAGGCUCAACCUCGGAACUGCCUUCGAUACUGGCGAUCUUUGAGUCCGGGAGAGGUGAGUGGAACUCCGAGUGUAGAGGUGAAAUUCGUAGAUAUUCGGAAGAACACCAGUGGCGAAGGCGGCUCACUGGCCCGGUACUGACGCUGAUGUGCGAAAGCGUGGGGAGCAAACAGG